GUGUGCAUGUGUCUGAGUGUGUGUAAGUCCUAAAUAGCACUCACACUAUUUACAGUGGUCUGAAAACACCUCUCUGGGUGCUCCUUUGCACCUGGCCACUGGGGACACUGCCAAGUCAUGAUGCUGGACUUUGCUGACUUUCUUUUCCAUUCUUUCUGUUUUUCAAAUGUUGACCUUUAGACACAUUUCAGGACAGCACAUUCCUGUGGGAAAUCUGUGAGGUGGAAAAUCAAAAUUCUCCUGAUGACUGUUUAUAAAGAAUAACGGCUAGCUCAUGUCUUCAGUGUUUUAUAGAAGUGCUCACAUGUAAUCUAAACAAGAACUCUACAAGAGAGGUAUCCAGAGCCACAUUUUAUAGAUAAGGAAAUUGAGGCUCAGAGAGGACUAGAAAUUUGGCUAAGCUCCUGCAGCUGGAAGUCUUUGGUGGUCUGGCUGGAUGGAGCCAAGGUUUUGGAGGCAGCCUGGAGCAAGAGACAAUGCCUGAGAAUUGCCAUCAGAGGACCCAUUUUAAAUCUCGGCUGUACCACUUACCAAAAGAACACACACACUGACCCACUGUGCCUCAGUUUCCUCCUGUACAAAAUGGAGAUAAAAAUAGCAUCUAUCUGGUAGGGUCAUGGUAAAGCCUGAGUAAGACAAUUCUGGAGGCUUCUCAGUUGUCCGGCUGCCAGAGGGGUGGGAUGCUGCUCCCCUAAGACUCUUAGAUGUGGAGAACAAUGCAAAGUGCUAGACUUCUGCAAAGCCUUAUGUUUGAUCUGAAAAACCUGCUCAAAAGUAUCCAUGUGCUUCAGGAGAUAACUUUGUCUCUGCUUCUCACUUUCAGAGUUGGGGGCUGCAUCUGACAAGUGGCCGUGGUUUCAAGUCUCUGGAGUCCCAUUUUUUUCUCUUCCAUGGAGUUUGUUUGCUGCAGUUUGAGGAGCCGAGGCAUAUGAUAAAUACCAGGUGUCCUUAGAAGAAGAGGAGAUUGGGCCCCAGACACACAUGCACAGAAGAAAGACCACGUGAAGACAGAGGGAGAAGACGGCGAUCUACAAACCAAGGAAACAUCCUCAGAAUGAAACCAACCUUGCCAACCCCUGAUCCUAGACCUCCAGCCUCCACAACGGUCUUUGGACUCAGAUGGAAUUAUACCACGGGGUUUCCUGGGUCUCCAGCAUGCAGAUGGCAGAUUGUGGAACUUCUCAGCCUCCAAAAUCGAGUGAGCCAAUUCCCAUCAUAAAUCCCCUCUCCUGUGUCUAAAUAUGUCCUAUUGCUUCUCUUUCUCUGGAGAAUGCUGACUAAUACAGACAUAAUACAGCA